rnacentral:rRNA from 1 species
CCAUGAAUCUGGUCUUGGGACACUGUCAGGUGGGCAGUUUGACUGGGGCGGUCGCCUCCCAAAAGGUAACGGAGGCGCUCAAAGGUUCUCUCAGUACGGUCGGAAAUCGUACGUAGAGUGUAAAGGCAAAAGAGAGCUUGAUUGCAAGACAUACAGGUCGAGCAAGGAUGAAAAUCGGACUUAGUGAUCCGGUGGUUCUGCGUGGAAGGGCCAUCGCUCAACGGAUAAAAGCUACCCUGGGGAUAACAGGCUUAUCUCCCCCAAGAGUCCACAUCGACGGGGAGGUUUGGCACCUCGAUGUCGGCUCAUCACAUCCUGGGGCUGUAGUAGGUCCCAAGGGUUGGGCUGUUCGCCCAUUAAAGUGGUACGCGAGCUGGGUUCAGAACGUCGUGAGACAGUUCGGUCCCUAUCCGUCGCAGGCGUAGGAAAUUUGAGAAGACCUGUCCUUAGUACGAGAGGACCGGGAUGGACGUACCUCUGGUGUACCAGUUGU